GGGGCAGUAGAUCAGUGGUAGAGCUCCCGCUUCUUACGCGGGAAGACUUGGUUUCGAUUCCCUGCUGCUUUC
rfam:Toxocara canis scaffold175, whole genome shotgun sequence.